GGAAAAAUAAAGCCCACCUGGCUAUGGAGAAAAAGCCUGGGUCUACACGGGUCUGCAUGGAUGUGGCACUGAAGAGGGACCCUCACCCCAGGAGAGCCCUCAUCCUCGUCCACACCCCUCUCCAGCUCACUUAAGGCGUGCUGGAUGCCCAGGCGGAGCAUGUUGGAGCAUCAGCACACAGCUGCCGCCAGCACGAACGGACGCUCUCCCAACCCUCUGGGGUGUUUGCUCACUCAUGCAUGUGGGCCCCCAAAUCGGAGCCCAGCCCGUCCCCUGGGGGGACGGAGGCCUCUGCUCCGGGAGAGUUCUCCAAAGCCUGGGACCUUCCACAUCCCAGGGGAACUGUCACCGCAGCAGGAGACGCCACUGCACCCUUCCAGGAGCUGCUUAAGGAAAACUCCCAGAGACAGGCAUGGAAGCCACCUUCCCUCCAUGGAACUGGGGCUCUGAGGAGAGAGUGUCUGCAUUGGAGAAAGUUACAGAUACUUGGGUGAAAGACAAGCUCUGUAUUUCUACUUGCCAGAACGCACACCUUUAUUCAUAAACACAACCCUAAAUACCGCACAGGUAAAAUCCAUAAAAUAAACCUCCAGCUGGGGCGUCUGAAUUGUUGAAUUUGUUCUUAGUGAAUUCCAAUGGGAAGAAGUGAGUCUCGUGAGCUUUGCUGUGGCAGGAUCUGAAAGAGAAGUGUCCACCGAGCUGCCCAAAGCCAACCCCACGUCCUGCGGGGCUCCUGUCAGUACCACAGGGGCAGGAAGCCCUGGCUUGGGUGAGGACGUCCGCCAUGGCUCCCUUCCCUGUCUCGGCCACCCCGUCCUAACGCCUGCCUCCCGGGUUCUUCCCAGUGCUGUGGGCUGCAGUUUCCGGUGACGGGGGGACGUGCAACGGGGAUGUGGACAAUGUUUCUGGAAGUCUGGCCAGGAGGCGGGCCCAGGGACAGGCUCGCAGAAAUGCCCGCCAGACCCGCCCAGGCUGAAGCAGGGAGCUGGGCAGGCAUGGGGACCCCGAGACCCACGUGGAUUCCUCAAUGCGCGGGCCAGACGCCUUAAGGCUCAGUGGCGAUUUAAACUGCAGAAAGUCAGACACACACAUUUGUAGGUCACCCAGACCUGUGGCUUUUAUUGACUGUAACAGCAUCGGAAUCCUUUAUUUAAAAAAAAAAAAAAAAAAAAAGAACAAAUAAGUCAACACAAACACCAGCGAAGCUGUUCAGGCUGAGAUUCGGCGGCGCAGAGCAGGAUGUGGGCCGCCUCCAGGCAGCCGGGCAGGCAGGACCCUGGGGCUCUGAAAACCGCGCAGACAGAGGAAGCCACCCUGCAACCCUGGGCACCCACACCGGGAGGUGCCCCUGUCCCUAGGCUCUCUCCUCCGAGGCACCCGCUUUGUUCUGCGUAAACACCACAUUCCAGGUGUUCUGUGACUUGAUUUCAAAACCCAGGCAUAACCGACAGGCAGUGAAGCGCAGGAGUCUGAAGUGACGGUUUGAUGUCCACUCGGCACUUGCCGUAUGGCCACUAAUUCCGGACGGGCCCACUGCGCCUCCGAGUGAGGUGCCAGACCCCCUGGCUGCCAGCCUCCUGUGGCCUCUUCAGCACCAUCUGGCUUGCGCCUUUUUUUGUCCAGCUUUUUGACUCAAAGUAACAUUUCUGAGACUCUUCCCCGCUGUGUGUGCGACGGCGCUGGGUUCCAGCUAUCGCUCUUCCUCUUACCACAGAGCAGAAUUCCACGGCGUGAGCCUGGUCCCGGCUGGCCCCUUCUGCUGUGGAUGGCACUGGCCACCUCCAGUGUGGGGCUGAGGAAGGAAGACGCUGCGUCCAGGAGGGCGAGUCUUCUGUGGCCGCAGCCGGACUUGCUGUCCUGUGUUCAUGAGAGACAGCUAUCCGUCUCCACGAUGGGCGCAGCCCCCAGAGCUCCUGCAGCUACAGCGAGCCUGGAGAUUUCCCUUCUCUCUCUCUGAUAAACAAUCACGUCGCAAACACCUGGACCAUGUCUGUGCACAACACAAGGGUCGGGUGGCAGAUUCCUGGAAGGAGAACUGGCUGGUGGAAGGAUAUUUGCAUGUAUAACCUUCACGGCCCGCACCCUCCGCGUGCGGUGAAUGCGGGUAGCAGGGGUAGCAGGUGCGCCAGGGACCCCGUAGCGGCACACCCUGCCCGCACGCCCGUGUCAGGUCCUGUAUGCUGGUGACUACCAUCGGGAAGUCUUUCGGGUCAUCCGUAUUCUGUUUCUAAGCAGCUGUACGUUCAUUUCUAGGUGGUUGCUGCUUUCACGCGGAUUCGUGGGGGCUCCAUCGCUGUCCUGCGAGCGAUGUUGCUGCUCCCACAGGCUGGCCCUGCCUCAGAUCCGGCGCAGCAGCCGUUGCGUGCCCGCGUUUUGUUCCGUCCGCCGCCUUCCCUUCCACGCCUGCUCUGCCUAGGAUGCCCUCCCCAAAAAGACCACGUUAAACAGCCACACACGCUUCUAUGGCUGCUGUGGCGUUGCGUUCGGUGUGUGGCAGAGUACUAAACCGUGUUUUUGAAUAGAUACCUCAAUGACCGAUGUCUUUCACUGAAUAGUCUUCCCAUGCCCAUUAAUUUAAAUACCACUGUUUUUUAAGCAAAACAAAACAAAGCCUCCAGUCCUGCCUGUGUUAAUUACUCCUGCCGGAUAAUGUUCUGUUAUGGGAUUCCUGUUCCCUUCUUUCCUGUGUCCUUCUGACGACUGUCCCCGACCUCCGCCCUAGUACACGCAUCUCCGUGACGGUGCACAUGCAGACGGGGGUGGGGUGGGCAGGAGGACCACAGGGAAGGGAGGGGAGAGGAGAGGGGAGGGGGUGCUGGAGCCUCUGGCAGGGGAGAGGGUGUGAGGAGCUGGCUUCUGAACAGGCUUCACGCUCGUGUGCAUCUGGGGCCAGCCUGAACACCUCAGCCUCUCUGGGAUUGCUCCAGCCACCCCCGCCUCCCACCAGACCCCUCCCCAGGUCCUCUCCUCCCCUAAGGCCAUCUGUGGCUGGUUCCUGCCCCAGAGACACAGACCCUUCAUUUCUCCUGAGCCCCUGGAGGCCUCACAGCCUCUGCCACAACGUCCCUCCCACCCAGCCUCUGUCUUGGGUUCCUGUUAACCUUAACCAUGAGCGAGCAGGACCACAUUUUCUCCACAGCCCCUUCUCCUCUCACGUUCCAUGAGCCUCUCUUUUGCUCGGCAUCAGGGCAGAUGGGGCAGGCCCUGUGUCAUUUCCUUGCGAUAAGAACCCUGGCCUGUGCACCUGGAAUUCCUGUCACUGGGCCACAGGUCUGUCUGGUUCAUAUCUGACCUGAUGGCUCACUGAACAGCACAGGCUGUGCCCCUGGCCCUGGGUGCAAGGUGUGGACACUCAGCUGGGCCCUACCUCAGUGCUUCUGACAUAGUCUGGUGGGGAGGAAAGCUGAGAAUUUACAGAUCCAGAAGGUCCAGAAGGUUCUCAGGUGAUGGCAAGGGGGGUCCAGGGGUCACACGUGGAGAGCCACUGACUUGUCCUAUUUCAUUGAAACACCGCAGCCCAUGCUUGGAGAAGGAAGCCCACUGCUAUUCUGCUGGCUGGAGUGCGGCAGGACAGGCCAAGCCUGCUGGCUCUGCCCACAGAUGGUCCAGUCCAUGCGGGGGUCCUGGAGACCCUGUCAUAGCAUCCGGCCUGUGGCCCUGAGUCCCUUCAGUCACCUCAGCUGGGGUGAAAAUGUUUCUUUGGGAGGCUCCGGCUGUGGGGGGUGCACACCCUGAGCCCGCCUGAGGCCUCUGCAGGACAGCCGCCUGCCCUGCCGAGGUCCUGGCCGUGCAGAAGCAGCACCAGUCCCCGCUUUCCGAGCAGAGCCCACAGCUCCGGGUGAUAACACACACCCCACACAUGGAGAAGGCUGUGUGGCGUCUGCAGGGCCUUGUGGAAGACCAUCCUCAAACCCAGCUCCACCGAGCAGCCCUUUCAGUUCCCAAAUGAGUCAGGACCCAGAGGAAUGAGGCCAAUGUGAGGGAGAACAUCAGUCCCUGCCUGGUGCCAGAGGACACGCCGCUGCAUGAGAUACUCAGUGGCGGAUGGGGCGGGAGGCACGGAGGUUCUUCUGAGAAGUACAAAGGGGACAUCACCUUGUUGCUUCUGCAUUGUUCCAUUUCGUUAUUUCUGCAGGAACAGCGAUAUCUUCCACUGAUAGAAGCGAAGGAAUAUCCAUCCAGUAGCACCGGCCGCGCAGGGCAUGCUUUGUUCCUGGAGAUAGCGGUACGCAUUCUCCCCUAAAGGCGACUGGGGGUGGGCUACGAUUUUGUAAUUUUUUAAACAUGAGCAGGCAUGCUCAUUACAGCGGCAUCUCCCUGUCUUCUGACCACAUACGAUGACUAAUUGCUCCCAUUAAGCCAAGUUCUGGGAUACACGUCAGGUGGAGCAGAAGAAUGGAGAUAAUGUUAAAAACUGCAUCAAAAUAAGUGGGACUUUCCCCAAGCGUAAAAGAAGCAUUUAUAAUCAUAAAUAUGAAAAACAUUAAAUUCUUCUACCCCAUCUUAAUGAAAUGAGAGAAAAAUUCCCUUUCCUCAAGAUUGGCAGUGGGUAAGAAAC
rnacentral:lncRNA from 10 species